UACGGAGGGGGCAAGCGUUGCUCGGAAUCACUGGGCGGAAAGCGUACGCCGGCGGCUCGAUAAGGCGGGUGUGAAAGCCCGGGGCUCAACCCCGGAAUUGCGCCCGAUACUGCCGAGCUUGAGUACGGGAGAGGGAUAGCGGAAUUCCUGGUGUAGAGGUGAAAUUCGUAGAUAUCAGGAGGAACACCAGUGGCGAAAGCGGCUUCCUGGCCCGAUACUGACGCUCAUGUACGAAAGCGUGGGGAGCAAACAGG
rnacentral:rRNA from 1 species